rnacentral:rRNA from 1 species
AUUGAACGCUGGCGGCAUGCUUUACACAUGCAAGUCGAACGGUAACAGGCCUUCGGGUGCUGACGAGUGGCGAACGGGUGAGUAAUGCAUCGGAACGUGCCCUGAGGUGGGGGAUAACGCAGCGAAAGCUGUGCUAAUACCGCAUGUGAUCUGAGGAUGAAAGCGGGGGACCAGGCAGCAAUGUUUGGCCUCGCGCCUUUGGAGCGGCCGAUGUCAGAUUAGGUAGUUGGUGGGGUAAAGGCCUACCAAGCCGACGAUCUGUAGCUGGUCUGAGAGGACGACCAGCCACACUGGGACUGAGACACGGCCCAGACUCCUACGGGAGGCAGCAGUGGGGAAUUUUGGACAAUGGGCGCAAGCCUGAUCCAGCAAUGCCGCGUGCGGGAAGAAGGCCUUCGGGUUGUAAACCGCUUUUGUACGGAACGAAAAGGCUCUGGCUAAUACCUGGGGCUGAUGACGGUACCGUAAGAAUAAGCACCGGCUAACUACGUG